rnacentral:rRNA from 1 species
GCAAGUCGAGGGGUAACAGGAAUUGCUUGCAAUUCGCUGACGACCGGCGCACGGGUGCGUAACGCGUAUGCAACUUGCCUCAAACUGGAAGAUAGCCCGGGGAAACCCGGAUUAAUAUUCCAUAGUAUCCAUUUUUCGCAUGUUAAAUGGAUUAAAGCUCCGGCGGUUUGAGAUGGGCAUGCGUGACAUUAGCUAGUUGGUGAGGUAACUGCUCACCAAGGCUUCGAUGUCUAGGGGGCCUGAGAGGGUGAAC